UACCCGCAGCACAAGUGGUGGUCAUUAUUAUUGGGCCUAAAGCGUCCGUAGCUGGCGUGUUAGAUGCCUGGGUAAAUCGAAGCGCUCAACGCUUCGAAUUCCGGGUAGACCGGCACGCUCGAGACCGGGAGAGGCAUGGGGUACUCGGGGGGUAGGGGUAAAAUCCUGUAAUCCUCCGGGGACGACCAGUGGCGAAGGCGCCAUGCUAGAACGGCUCUGACAGUGAGGGACGAAGCCCUGGGGCGCAAACCGG
rnacentral:rRNA from 1 species